AGGUCUAAAAACUUGCUAAAUAUAGCGACAAAGUCGCUAAGUUUGCAACACUGCCCAGGACUGGAUUUGGACACCCCUGCCUUAGGCAGAAAAAACAGGCAGCGCAUAUCGAUGUUCACUGGCCAAUCAGGUAGUGCCCCUCUCAUAAAUAUUAACGAGCCAGCCAAUCACGUAGGGCUUCGCUCAUGAAUAAUAAUAAGAUUUCCUGAACCACGGUUCUAAAAGAGAAAUUUGUGCCUGGAACACACUGGAUGUGCGGCGGAAAAUAUGGAAUUUCAUUUCGGCGUCCAUGUUAACAGAUUAGAGCGGCCACCUGCCUGCGCGAGAUGCGGGGUUCACGCCUCACGGCAGCGGCGCCGCAUCUAGAGUCACGCACGCGACUCCUGCCAGCUGACGCUGGACCCAAACACAGCACACGGACACCUGUCUCUGUCAGGGGGGAACAGGAAGGUGACACGGGGGGCAGAGUGGCAGCCAUAUCCUGAUCAUCUAGAGGGAUUUGACUGGGAACAAGUUCUGUGCAGAGAGAGUCUGACUGGCCGCUGUUACUGGGAGGCUGAGUGGGAUGGAGAUGGAGCUUACAUAGGAGUGACUUAUAAAGGGAUCUGGAGGAAAGGAGAGAGUGACUGUCUGCUUGGAGACAAUGACAAGUCAUGGUGUCUGGACUGUGAUCCUGACAGUUACUCUUUCCGGCACUAUAAUGAACAGACUCACAUACCCAUAGAGCCCUCAGGCUCCCGCAGAGUAGGAGUGUAUCUGGACUGGGGGGCUGGUGCUCUGUCCUUCUACAGAGUCUCCUCUGAUGGAAUGACCCCCCUGCACAGAUUCACCUCCUCAUUCACUGAGCCCCUAUAUCCAGGGUUUUAUGUUUAUAGAAACUCCUCUGUGUCACUGUGACGUGUUGCUGGUUCUCCUGGCAAAAAGUAGAGCUGGGCGAUUCAUGAUUCACCUGGGUGAAUAACCCGGAUCCGUUAAAUAACUCAUGAGUCACGAAUCUGAGGUCUCCAUUAACCCGAAUCCAUAGAGUCCUAACUACCCCAUGACUAAACUAUAAAGCCCAUCACGUACAUACCUCGUAUAAUCAUUUUAAACUCAUUGCAAGAUCAAUACAGCUAUAGUAGCAAGUAUAGCUGCUAAAACUUCGUACGCACCUGGAUCACACACAGCCAUGAGUGAAUUAGCUUCCUCUACAGCUGGAAUCCCAUUUAUUUUUGUGUGUCAUACCACCCUCCCCCACCCCUGCUUACAUGGAUUUUUCUUAUUUUGGAUGGACUAAUUAAUUCAGCACUAUCAUAUGUAAUGUUUUUGACAAUUGUUGUAUUGAGUUUAAUAAAUUAAAAUGAAAUUA